CCAACCAUGCUAUCAGCGUAUCUAAAAUUCUGUUUGGCUUUAGAGCGAGAGAGUGGAGAGAGAGGAGCGAAGGUGAUAAAAGCUGUGAUGGCGGUGAACACUCGAGGCAAACCUCGCCUUGCAAAAUGUUGCAAAUAUCUGUGGAGAAGCAGCAGGAGCUUAUAGGAAGCGUUUCGCAGUCUGUGCAGUCGAGCGGAGAACGUAAGCAAUUUCAUAGAGGCUGAAUCCGUUUUUGGUCCCGAUAGUUGCCUUGUAUACAAGCAUUUUGCUACUCUUUACUUUGUUCUUGUAUUUGAUAGUUCUGAAAAUGAACUAGCGGAGCUUGACUUGAUACAAGGUUCAGAUUUCAAACAUUACUUGAUGGCUGGGAAAGCUUCUUAUGCCCUGCUUUUCACGGUCUGUCUUUGGAAUAUGCCUUCUUAUGACAUCAUUAUAACACCUUAAGUGUACACUGAAAGUGAUACAAAGUCAGUUUAAUGCUUGGAAAGCUUCUUAUGCCCUGCUAGCCAAAGUCUGUCUUUGGAAUAUGCCUUCUUAUGGCAUCGUUAUAACAUCUUAAGUGUACACUGAAAACUGAUUCAAAGUCAGUUUAACGCUUUUUUAGUACUAUAUUCUGCUGGGUUCAUUGAUGGAAUUUUAAAUGUAUCAUAUAAUUGCUUUAGUCCGGUAAUGUUCUUUUCCUUGGUCAAUAUCUUCAUUUAAUCAAAUCUUCAUAAUCCUUUGUAGAUACACAGUAUCCUGGAAACAUGAUUCUUGUCUUUGUCAUGCUAAAUUGCUUUGCGUUGGUCAAAUUGAUUUCUCCUUGCACUGUACCCAUAUGAAGCAGAAGACGUGGAAAGCGGCUACUGUCUAACAAAUAACCAUAUUGAGGUCAUGUGUUUUGUGGAAGAUAUAUUUUCCCCUUUUAGCUUCUUUAGUUUCUUUUUUAUAUUUAUAUUUUUUAAGCAGAAUGCAUGUUGAGCAAAUGAUGUGAAUUCUGGGUGUGAACUUGAAAUGUUGUCCAGAUUAUCCUGACUAAUUGAUAAUAGCCAGGAGAACCUUAUGCUUCAAUUCUCACCUUCACUAUACUGGUUAUUAUGUUUUCAAGGUUCACAGCUGACAGCGAGGACUCCAUACUGCAAGAAUUUUAUCAAAUGCAAACCCUUAUAAAACUUUCGUGCUGGGGUGAUCCUGCUUACAGGCUGCUAUGGUUGGCCGAAAUGGGCCACUUGAGUGCAGGUAUCAUUGCUCUAUUACUGAAUGAUUCCUCAUAAUCUUUUUUAUAUUGUUGGAAUCAUUUGCACAAAGAUGUUUCAUCUUGAUUGAUGAAUAUGCUCCGGAGUUCAGAUCAUCUAUCAUUGGCUAUGACAUGCUAACUCCUCCUGACCUUGAUAGGGAAAUUGGCUUGACAGGAAGAAAUAUCAUCCAUGGUGCAAUGGGCUUAGAUUCUCUUUUUCUCAUGCGACCCGUUCAAAGGACAGGAAAUCGGAUUGCUUCUUUUUCCGUUUUCUUUAUGAGAAUGAGUGCAUGUUUAAAUUUAUACAUAAAUUUUUUGCAAUACUAGUAUUACUUAUAGCGUUCAACUUUUAUUCUGGUUUAAAAAAUAUAAUGACUACAUAUAAAUAUAUAUGUUUAAUAUGAUUACAAUUUAAAGAUAUAAUGAAUAAAGAAUUAUAAAUGUAGCAAAUUAUUUUCUAAGGAAAGUGAUUUAAUAAAAUUAGGAUUCUUUACUAUAAACCAAAAAUAUUUGAGUGCCUUUUUUCCUUUCUAUUAAUAAGAGUGAGUGCAUGUAUAAAUUUAUUUACAAUUUUCUGUAAUAUAUUAUUAUUCAAAUUUGUCGGUGCAGGUGUCCGUUGCCAGGCCUUUACUUGUGCGGCAGAGGUGCUCAUCCUGAGGGUGCUGCGAAGUGGAGUAAUGGGAGCAAGCGGCCGCAAUGCAGCGCAGCUAGUUCAAGAUUUCAAUAAAAAAUGGGAUACCAAGCUCCACUUUUUCAUUAUGUUCUGGGAAAUAUAUCCCUUAAUCUA